rnacentral:rRNA from 1 species
AGACUGGCGUCUGCUACCUGCAGUCGAACGCUGAACCACUUUCGGGUGGGGAUGAGUGGCGAACGGGUGAGUAACACGUGGGUAAUCUGCCCUGCACUCUGGGAUAAGGCUUGGAAACGAGGUCUAAUACCGGAUAUCACCUCCUACCGCAUGGUGGGUGGUUGAAAGUUCUGGCGGUGCAGGAUGAACCCGCGGCCUAUCAGCUUGUUGGUGGGGUAGUGGCCUACCAAGGCGACGACGGGUAGCCGGCCUGAGAGGGUGACCGGCCACACUGGGACUGAGACACGGCCCAGACUCCUACGGGAGGCAACAGUGGGGAAUAUUGCACAAUGGGCGCAAGCCUGAUGCAGCGACGCCGCGUGAGGGAUGACGGCCUUCGGGUUGUAAACCUCUUUCGCCAGGGACGAAGCGCAAGUGACGGUACCUGGAUAAAAAGCACCGGCUAACUACGUGCCAGCAGCCGCGGUAAUACGUACGGUGCGAGCGUUGUCCGGAUUUAUUGGGCGUAAAGAGCUCGUAGGCGGUUUGUCGCGUCGGCCGUGAAAUCUCCACGCUUAACGUGGAGCGUGCGGUCGAUACGGCCAGACUUGAGUUCGGUAGGGGAGACUGGAAUUCCUGGUGUAGCGGUGAAAUGCGCAGAUAUCAGGAGGAACACCGGUGGGCGAAGGCGGGUCUCUGGGGCCGAUACUGACGCUGAGGAGCGAAAGCGUGGGGAGCGAACAGGAUUAUAUACCCCUGGAUAGUCCACGCUAGUAAACGUUGGGGCGCUAAGGUGUGGGGCGACAUCC